GGGGAUGUAGCUCAGUGGUAGAGUGCAUGUUUUGCAUGAAUGAGGUUCAUCCGUAGCAUCUCCA
rnacentral:tRNA from 1 species